GCCAGCACCAGAACACGUCUCAUUUUCUUCAGUUGUACUGCUGCUGAUGCCUUACGUUAUAAGGCAUGUUGUGGCCUUAACUAACUUCAUUCUCGAAACGAAUCCAUUGCGUUUCUUCAAAUAUCCACUGAUUCUAAUCCAUCUUGUACCAGCUAAUACAACUUAUCUGAUUCGCUAAUAACAACGCUCAUUAGUUCAUGGAAGCUCCACCGAUCCAAAUUUAGGGCUUUUAUUUUAUUGGAGGAUUUUUUUAUCAAUGGCUUCGUGGCUUAAAGCCGCAGAAGAUUUAUUUGAAGUUGUAGAUCGAAGGGCAAAGUUGGUUGUCAGUGAAUUGGCAGAUGAGCAUUCUGAUUCUCAGUCACCAGAAGCUUCUAAUGGGCAAGGAUCUCAACCCAAGAGGGUGAAGUCUAAGACCAAGGCUCAAAAGAAGCUAUCCACAAGUGAAUCCUAUCAAGCCAGUAACACUAAAGAGGACUUAACUAGUACAGAAACUUCAAAAUUAGAUGUAUUAUCUGAUAAAGAUAGGGCUACUCUUUUUGUUGAAAAUGUUGUUACCCCCUCUAGCAAGUCGAUGCCCCAAACAAUCACUGAACAGCAGCAGAAUACUGACAAAGAUAUCUCUAGCAGUACAUCAUCAGAGAGAGUAGCAAAUGAAGUUGUCAAAGAUGAUGCUAAUCGUGUAGAAUUUGCUGUAACUGCUGCUGAUGCAGAUGCUGCAACAUCAACUUCAAAUGGUGAGCUUCUCAAUGAGAAGGCUUCUGAUGAUCCUGUAGAACAUCCUCUUUCCCCAUUAGCUGCCAAAGAAAUAGAGGUUCUUAAUGAAGACCAUCAAGACCAUCCAAUUGAUGCUGACAUCAAGCGAAGGGAUGCUGUUGUUCCUUCAAAUAUUGACCAAGAGAGAUCUCUGUCAGCAAUUACUGAUCCUACUGUCAAUGGCGAAACUUCAGUAAAAAAUGCUGAUCUUAGGGCUGAACCUCUGGUUGAUCAACAGAACCAGCACCAGUUGCAGCAGCAGCGUAAAGCUGAUACUUCAAUCAUGAAAAUACAGGACCAACUUGAUGAGGCUCAAGGACUGCUUAAGACUGCAAUUUCCACUGGCCAGUCAAAAGAGGCAAGGUUGGCACGGGUUUGUGCAGGACUUUCAACCCGCCUUCAAGAAUACAAAUCUGAAAAUGCUCAGCUGGAGGAACUUCUCAUUGCAGAGGCGAGAUGACAAACCUUUGUUCUGCUAUUGAUCCUUACGUACUUGCUGAGAUUUUUCAAAAUUAUGCAUAUUUGCGCCUGAUGUAAUGCUAUUGAAGGGGUUGUCUUUAACAUGGGGAUAUACUACUUUAACAGAGGGAGCUGAGUAGAUCAUAUGAGGCUCGUAUAAAGCAGCUACAGCAAAAUUUGUCUACAUCUAAAAGUGAAAUGACAAGAGUAGAGUCAAAUAUGGCUGAGGCUUUGGCUGCAAAAAAUUCUGAAAUUGAGGCCCUUGUUAACUCUAUGGACACACUCAAGAAACAGGCUACUUUGUCUGAAGGAAAUCUGGCUUCAAUGCAGGUUCCCUCCACUUUCUAUGUUCAGGAUAAUGAUUCAUUCUUUUUCUCCCCAGCCUUGGGCAAUGAUCUUGUCCCACCUGUUGUAAAAUGACUUUAUUGAGCCAAACCAUCAAUUUUCCACACCCAUUGGAGAAGGUUUAAAUAGAAAUUUAAACUGUGUUAAUGUGGAAGAGAAUAAGCUUUAAUCUAUCUCUCAAGCCAUUCUGCUAUCUCGUGUAAGAUAUAACCUGAUGUGGAAAAUAGACUUCUACUUCUGUGCUAUUGUUUCUUCUGUCCUCUUUCUUUCUAAAAAUAUGAUAGUUAUAUAGAUAACAGCAAACAUAUCAGGUAACAUUUUUCUGAUUCUUUUAGUUUUUAUGUGCUCCGUUGAUAUUUCAUCUUAUUUAAAUAUUAGUCUUCCUUCUGGUAAUUGCUUUUUUCUUUUUUUUACCUUGAUUGUAUUAGUUUUAAUCCAAGGCUUUGUAAUACUUUGGUUACUUUCAGGCAAACAUGGAGUCUAUUAUGAGAAACAGAGAACUCACAGAGACAAGGAUGAUGCAGGCAGUUAGGGAGGAGCUGGCCUCCACAGAACGAAGAGCAGAAGAAGAACGUGCAGCACAUAAUGCUACCAAAAUGGCAGCAAUGGAAAGGGAAGUGGAAUUGGAACAUAGAGCUGUUGAGGCGUCCACAGCCCUUGCUAGGGUCCAGAGAAUUGCUGAUGAGAGAACAACAAAGGCAGCAGAACUUGAGCAGAAAGUGGCACUGCUUGAGGUUGAGUGUGCAUCAUUAAAUCAAGAGCUGCAAGAUAUGGAAGCCCGUGCUCGUCGCAGUCAAAAGAAGUCCCCAGAAGAGGCAAAUCAAGUGAUUCAGAUCCAGGCUUGGCAGGAAGAAGUGGAGCGUGCACGUCAAGGUCAGAGAGAUGCUGAGAGCAAGCUUUCUUCUAUGGAGGCAAGGGUUUUUUGCUCUUUGCUAUAAGUAUUAUCAUUUGUCAUCUCCAUUGCCAAAAAGAAAAUGCUGUCAGAUCGUAUCUAAUUUCAUAUAGAUUUUGAUGGAUGAGCUUGUUAUCCUAAUUAUCAUAAAUUAAAUGGUGCUUUUGACAAUUUAUUUGUAUUCUAUGAUCUAUUUAUUUGAUUACAGGCCGAAGUGCAAAAAAUGAGGGUUGAAAUGUCUGCCAUGAAGAGGGAUGCUGAGCACUAUUCACGUCAGGUAACCUGUGCACAUGCUUAGAUUAGGGCAUCCAACCUUUUUUAUUUUUCGAUUGACAGUUGUGUGAAUAUGAUUUAAGCACAACCUUAAAAGCUAAUGGCCAUCUGACAUGGGUAGAAUUACCAAAUAUUCUGUCAUGUCACAUAGCUUCUACUAACAUUCCAGUACAAUUAUAUUUUUAUUUUGGAUUUAGCAUUGAGUGUUUGUGAUAGUGUUGCUUGAAAUCAUACUCACUAACUUCCCGUCCAACUUUGAUGUUAAAAUGCAUGUGGCUCUAUGAAGCUAAAUGGUCCUACAAGUUUUGUUGAGGGCUUGAGGCUAAUGGUUCACAUAAGAGGCAGAGAUAAGACAUCUCUUUACAGAUCUUCUGUGUUCUGAGAAAUUGUUCUCUGUAGUUAAAAGAAGAUUGAAAUGAAAGAAACUUUAUGGUUUGGAAAUUUUUUAAUCUGAAGAAUAUGUUGCUUUGGAUAUGGUACCAAGAAACGUGGCAGAUGAUAGUUGUAUUAUGGAACAUGAGUGUUCAUGCAACCCUCUGUGGGCUUGCUUCAUAAGUCCAAGAAAACAUUGUACGCCAUUUUUUUAUUGUAAAUAAAUGCAUAAUAUUGUUCCACGUAGGAUAUACUCCUGCAUCUCAUUUGUCAUAACUGCCCCUUUUACAGGAGCACAUGGAGCUGGAGAAGCGCUACCGUGAAUUAACUGAUUUGUUGUACUACAAGCAAACACAGUUAGAAGCCAUGGCUAGUGAAAAAGCUGCUGCAGAGUUUCAGUUGGAGAAGGAGGUGAAGCGUCUUCAAGAAGCACAGGUCUCUCUCCUUAAGUAUUUAAUGCUGCUUGAUAAAUAGUUGUGACUUGUACUCCUGGUUUCAUCCUUCGUGUGCCACGUAACCAAUAGAUCUUCAUUUUGCAUAUGCUAUCAUUGUUAUCAAACAGGUUGAAGCAGAAAGGGGUAGAGUUUCCCGUCAUGCAUCCUCGUCUUGGGACGAAGAUUCUGAAAUGAAGUCACUUGAGUAUGCUGUUUCAAUUCCAACCAAGUAGAUAUAUUCACAUGCUUUUGAUGCUUUUGCUUUUCAUAAAGUACAUUGAUAUAAGUUGUGUUAGUUUUAUGGUUUUCACUUUAGCUUCUUGUUGGCAAUAAAUAUUUAUUUAAAUCUACUAAAAAUUUCUUAUAAGGUAAUAAUUGCAGGCCUCUUCCCUUGCAUCACCGUCAUAUGGCAGCAGCAACCAUGCAGUUGCAGAAGGCAGCAAAGCUAUUGGAUUCAGGGGCUGCCAGAGCCACAAGAUUUUUAUGGCGGUACCCAACAGCUCGGCUCAUCCUUCUUUUCUAUUUGGUAAGAAGAGCCAUCUUGUAUUGUUAAGCGUCUACUUAAAAAUAUGGAUCGCAUACAUGUAGAUGCAUUAAAUUGUAUGAUGACCAUGAGAAAUCAAAUGCAGGUGUUUGUACACCUCUUCUUGAUGUAUUUAUUGCAUCGCCUUCAGGUAUGGAUAUUUGGACAUGGUUCACAAUUGAUUUUAUGUUCUCAAUGCGACAAUCUGCCCCGAGUAGAAAAUUGUGUUGCUUUAUUUAAAUGGGAGUUUCUUUUUUUUCCAAACUGUGAAUUGAUUACACUUGGUACUGCAUUGAUUUUUUUUUUAAUUGUUAAAAUUUUAUUUUGCAAUGUGAAGGAACAAGCGGAUAAUAUUUCUGCUAGAGAAGUUGCAGAGUCUAUGGGUCUUGCCAACCCAACUUUACCAUGAUUGAGGAAGUUGCUCCUAAUCAAAAAGCAAAUGCCACAUUUUUGCCUGCAAAGGUUUCUCUAUCAUUCUUAAAGCAAACUAUGGCUUGUGAAUAUCCAGGAAAUAACAUAAUCAAAAGGAAAGUGAAAACCGUCUUCAAUGUUUGCUUUUUAUACAAAUCGUUUGAGGAAACAGUGGAAAAAGUAGCAUAUUACUUGAUGUCAAGACAAAUUCAAAUGUGCAUGCAAAUAUUCUGUCAUUUCCAUAGUCAGUUUGGUGUGGCUCAGGGACAUUAAAAUGAUGUUACAGUGAGAGCUACCAUGCUGUAUAUCCAGACGUUUCUUCAUGAAAUGGAAUAUUCUUUUAUUUGUAAUGGGCGACUUCCAUCACUGAGAUUGAGCAACAAGUUAUGAAUCGUGAGAAGUUUGUACAUCACAAUAAUGGUUUUCUUGUGUUGCAUUCUUGUUCUUGUCCUUUAAAGAAAUUUCAAUGAUGACAAUAGCAAUGAUCACUAUUUUUUUUUUUUUUGGAUCAAAUAACAAUGAUCACUUUGAUUAAACUUAUUUGAUAUAGG
rnacentral:misc_RNA from 1 species